rnacentral:rRNA from 1 species
AUGAUUGUAUGGUGUUGCUGCUGCUGCUUGGUUGCGACGAGAAGGCGGACGACCCGGCGUGCUACACUGCUACCUGUUGUUAUUUACAUUUAUCCAUGGCUGCUACACUACUACUUCCUACUGCUAGCUUGUUGCCACACAACUACUCAACCUGAACCUUGUAUUUGUGCUGCUGCUAAACUUUGUAUUUCUGCUGCUAUUUGUGCACCUGAACCUUGUAUUUGUGCUUCUGAAGACAUGCACCAUGUAUUUGUGAUGCUAUUUGUGCUCUUGAACCUUGUAUUUGCCUUCCUGAUAUUGUGUUUUCUAGCUGUUCUACUAUAUAUUCACAUUGAUGGUUAG